CUACGGGAUGCAGCGGUGGGGAAUAUUGCACAAUGGAGGAAACUCUGAUGCAGCAACGCCGCGUGGAGGAUGACACUUUUCGGAGCGUAAACUCCUUUUAUAUAGGAAGAAGAUGACGGUACUAUAUGAAUAAGCGCCGGCUAACUCCGUGCCAGCAGCCGCGGUAAUACGGAGGGCGCAAGCGUUACUCGGAAUCACUGGGCGUAAAGAGCGUGUAGGCGGAUUAAAAAGUCAGAAGUGGAAUCCUAUAGCUUAACUAUAGAACUGCUUCUGAAACUCUUAAUCUAGAAUAUGGGAGAGGUAGAUGGAAUUUCUGGUGUAGGGGUAAAAUCCGUAGAGAUCAGAAGGAAUACCGAUUGCGAAGGCGAUCUACUAGAACAUUAUUGACGCUGAGACGCGAAAGCGUGGGGAGCAAACAGGAUUAGAUACCCUAGUAGUC
rnacentral:rRNA from 1 species